rnacentral:rRNA from 1 species
AACGCGAAGAACCUUACCAGGAUUCGACAUGUCCCUUUCGGGCUCUUGAAAGAGAGCCCUUCAGUUCGGCUGGGGGGAACACAGGUGCUGCAUGGCUGUCGUCAGCUCGUGUCGUGAGAUGUUGGGUUAAGUCCCGCAACGAGCGCAACCCUCGUCUCCUGUUGCCAUCAGGUCAAGCUGGGCACUCUGGAGAAACUGCCGGUGAUAAGCCGGAGGAAGGUGGGGAUGACGUCAAGUCCUCAUGGCCCUUACAUCCUGGGCUACACACGUGUUACAAUGGCGGUGACAAUGAGCAGCGAUCGCGCAAGCGCUAGCCAAUCUCAAAAAGCCGCCUCAGUUUGGAUUGCACUCUGCAACUCGAGUGCAUGAAAUUGGAAUCGCUAGUAAUCGCGGAUCAGCACGCCGCGGUGAAUACGUUCCCGGGCCUUGUACACACCGAUACUC